AACGCGGCCGCCGCAGCGUUUCCCAGCCAUUGUGCUGCUGCUUUUCGUCAGAUCGAUACCGUGUCCAUGUGUCUUUCUUAUCCUCAAGCGGGUGGCAGGUCCUCGAAUCACAACUGAAUGUUUCACCAAACGAAAUGCAAAAUGAUUCAGGUAGGUAGUCGUGUUGGUCUAACGCAGUGUGUGUGUGUGUGUGUGUAUAUAUAUAUAUAUAUAUAUAUAUAUAUAUAUAUAUAUAUAAUGUUCAGUAGUACCUCAGAGACCAACUAAUAGUUGCAAAAUGGUUAUUUUCUGCAUCCAUCCCUAUGAGAUGCUACCAUUUAACACCAGUUUCAUGGGCAAAAAAAAUGCAGCUUUCCACAUACUGUGACCCAAAUUUUUAAAAGCACCUUUUGGUUUUGAGUAGAGGUCUCUAUACCAACUAUUACCUGAGGAUACAUGGAAACUGUUGGAAGCCAUAAUCCAAGUAUUAUCCCCAAAAAGUACGAGGAAGAAAUAAAACUACUAAUAUUCAUGCAUGUUGUUUGGUAACAGCAUUAUACCAUAAGGAAAUCUGCAAUAAUUCAUAACAGCAUCUUGUAAUAAAACAGUUUUAUGCAUCCCUCUCAAACUGUUUAGUGCUCAGAUCUCAUCAGAUGGCUGAGUAAGCAUUAUUCUUUGGGACAGUAAAUCUCAGUUUCCAAUAUGGUCUGCAUUCAGAGAUAUGUAUUUUAGCAUUCAUUCUAAAACACUUACAGCUAAGUAUUUGUAAAGAAUGGGAAGCUAUAUAUUUAAAUGUCUGAAUGCUAUUUGCUUUGUCAACUCCACUAAUCUAAGUCUGUUCUAGAGAUGAGUCAAAUGGGUCUUCAGGCAGUCCUGCAUCAAUAUUAUGGUAUAUUCAACCACUUAGGACAAAACAAUUACAGCUGUUUAUUUUUUGUUUAUUUGAACCUUCCACAAAACGGGUUUCUGUGGUUUUUUUAAAAAGACAGAAUUCACAGCAAUCUUGGCAAGCUAUGCUAAUGUGCAAUUUCAGGAAGAUAUGGAAGAAAGAGUGACAUUGGGACAGCAGGAAACACAUUUUUACAGGCUCCUUUGAGUCACAUAACAUUUUUCCUAGGCAGGCGUAGGGAAAUCUAUGUAUGUAAUUGCAUGUCACAAGCAUGUGAGUAUCUAUUUUUUUCUGCAGCAAAGCAGAUUCUAAAUAAGUAUAAUUGUUGCAAUAUAUACAAACACACAUACUUUUAUGUAAGGGCUGGUAUCUCGGGUUACAGGAAAACAAGUCAGAAAAGUUUUGUCAGCCUCCCUAAUUAUACACACACACACACACACACACACACACACACACACGAUGCUAUUCUUUUAAGGAUUAUUCACAUGAAAAUGUAAUUCCUCUGUACUACAUAAGUACAACAUAUGGUAGUAGUCAAUGUCUACUAGUGUAGGGUUGCCAUAUCUUGAAGAGCAAAAAAGAGGACAGUCCGAGCCGGGCAAAGAGGCGUGUGGGCAUGCGGGGCUGCUACGCCUAUGUACAUCUUUCCCUGGCUUGGACUGGCAGUGACCACAGCGUGCAGAACACCCACACACCUCUUUCCCUGGCUCAGGCUGGCAGUGGCAGCACGGUGCAGAGCAGCCCGCCCCGCCCGAGCCCCCAACUCCCCCCCAAGCCCCAGACAUUUCCUUUAAAAUGUAAAAAUCUGUCCAGAUGGGCAUGUUGCGCCCCCAAAAGAGGAGAUGUCUGUGUUUUCCCAGACUUAUGGCAACCCUGUACCAGUGGCUUGAGCCCAUAGAUGAGAAGUUGCAAACUUCAGGCUUGAGGGCCAUAUACAGGCCCUUUGGACUCUCCUCAGGCCACAGACUCUCAUUUUUAAACCGUUUUAUUUCAUGGUGUUCUGAUGAGUGCUGGGCAGCUAAUUCCUUGCGAUUCUUCUGACAUAGCCACUAUUUAAAUUUCCCACAAUAUCCCAGUGAUGCUAUUAGUGGGAUGAUGCCACUUGUGUUUCCCACAGUGCCUCCUUUUGAGUGUUGCUCAAAAUGAUCUAUUUUAAGUUUGAUUGUUGUGUCCCCCACAUUAUUUAAUUUCUAUAGGAAGAUGCUGCAACAGAACAGACAAAGAUGUGUGGAAGACCUUGGUAUUUAAGUUCAGUGAUGGACUGGAUAUAAGUUUAAGACCUGAAGCUUAAUCUAUGCAAGUCAGACAUGUCUUUCAUUAGUCUUUCAUUAUCUUUAAUAGGAUAUGUGCAUGCUUUUUGUUGCUACACACCCUUUAAGAAUCAGGUUUACUGCUUGGGACUGCUCCUAGGCCUGACACUCGUGGGGGUACAUGAGGACUACUAUUUAAAUCCUCAUUUUCAAGUCCCCAAUAAAGCUUGUUUGAAUUUGUGUUAUUACUUUCAAUUGGGUGCUUUAUGAAUGCAUGUUCCUCUUUAAUUUAUGUAGUUAUCACUCCAUAGUGGAAAAUGCAAAGAAGGAAAGUUUACUUUAUAGUUGUGUCAGAAGGUUAAACUAUCUCAAGGGAACACUUUUUAAAAAAAUAGUAAAUAUGUCAUGACAAACUGAAGUGCAUAUCAAGACCACUGCCAUUUUCUUAACUAAUGCCACUGAAUUAAAUUAGAAAAACAACUGGGGAAUUUUAUUUUUAUUUUUAAAAAAAUAUAAAAAAAUAGAGGGAAGAUCCACACAGCAAUAUUAUACAGAUACUGUGCUAUGCUUCACUGAAAUUAGACCUCCUUGCAAG
rnacentral:lncRNA from 1 species